UUUCAAGAUGUCCGUAAUGUGAAGAUUGAGUAUCAGAUGGUAUAAUAUUAUUAUUAAGCUUCAAGUGUUUCAUUCUCUUGUUCCUUCGCGAAAACAUAGCGAACUGCGUUGCAGAGAAACUGAAGUGUGAAUUGAAAAAAGAAAGAAGAUGCUUAGGAAUGAUGUCAAACUGUACUGCUACUAACACUUAUUGAGGUAUAAAGUGGAUUGUAUUG